rnacentral:rRNA from 1 species
GACGAACGCUGGCGGCGUGCCUAAUACAUGCAAGUAGAACGCUGAAGCGAGGAGCUUGCUCUUCUUGGAUGAGUUGCGAACGGGUGAGUAACGCGUAGGUAACCUGCCUUGUAGCGGGGGAUAACUAUUGGAAACGAUAGCUAAUACCGCAUAACAAUGGAUGACACAUGUCAUUUAUUUGAAAGGGGCAAUUGCUCCACUACAAGAUGGACCUGCGUUGUAUUAGCUAGUAGGUGAGGUAAUGGCUCACCUAGGCGACGAUACAUAGUCAACCUGAGAGGGUGAUCGGCCACACUGGGACUGAGACACGACCCAGACUCCUACGGGAGGACGCAGUAGGGAAUCUUCGGCAAAGGGGGCAACGCUGACCGAGCAACGCCGCGUGAGUGAAGAAGGUGUGCGGAUCGUAAAGCUCUGUUGUAAGUCAAGAACGGGUGUGAGAGUGGAAAGUUCACACUGUGACGGUAGCUUACCAGAAAGGGACGGCUAACUACGU